rnacentral:rRNA from 1 species
GAAGAAGAUACUAAGGGCGCACGGCGGAUGCCUUGGCACAGGAAGUCGAAGAAGGACGCGGCAAGCUGCGAUAAGCUCCGGGGAGGCGCAAACGGCCUUCGAUCCGGAGAUCUCCGAAUGGGGGAACCCAGCAGGGGUCAUGCCCUGCUACCCGCGCCUGAAUGAAAUAGGGCGCGAGGAGGCAACCCGGGGAACUGAAACAUCUAAGUACCCGGAGGAAGAGAAAUCAACCGAGAUUGCGGGAGUAGCGGCGAGCGAAACCGCACCAGCCCAAACCCAUGCACGUGCAAGCUUGAGGGCGUUGCUGCAUGAGGGGUUGUGGGACCGCGCAUUCCAUGGGCCUCAGACCAUGGACGCAGUUACAAAUCCGCGCGGAAGCGGAACGGCCUGGGAAGGCCGGCGGAACAGGGUGAGAGCCCCGUACGCGAAUCCGCGCGGACUGCGAGUGCGGC